AUACCUACCUGGUAGGGGAGAUACUAUUAUCAAAAGGUGGUUUCCUCAGGGUGAGGCUUAUCCAUUGCACUCCGGAUGUGUUGACCCCUGCAAUUUCCCCAAAUGGGGGAAACUUGACUGCAAAACUAAACCAAUAGUUUAGUUUUAAUUAAAUAUUAA